rnacentral:rRNA from 1 species
GGAAUAUUGGACAAUGGGGGCAACCCUGAUCAGCAAUGCCGCGUGUGUGAAGAAGGCCUGCGGGUUGUAAAGCACUUUCAGUAGAGAAGAAAAGCCUACGGUUAAUAACCUUGAGUCUUGACGUAACCUACAGAAGAAGCACCUGCUAACCCCGUCCCAGCAGCCGCGGUAAUACGGAGGGUGCAAGCGUUAAGCGGAAUUACUGGGCGUAAAGCGCGCGUAGGUGGUUUUGUAAGUCGGAUGUGAAAGCCCUGGGCUCAACCUGGGAAUUGCAUUCGAUACUGCUUAACUAGAGUAUGGUAGAGGGAAGUGGAAUUUCCGGUGUAGCGGUGAAAUGCGUAGAUAUCGGAAGGAACACCAGUGGCGAAGGCGACUUCCUGGGCCAACACUGACACUGAGGUGCGAAAGCGUGGGUAGCAAA